rnacentral:rRNA from 1 species
CAGCAGCCACGGUAAUACAGAGGGUGCGAGCGUUAAUCGGAUUUACUGGGCGUAAAGCGUGCGUAGGCGGCUAAUUGAGUCGGAUGUGAAAUCCCCGAGCUUAACUUGGGAAUUGCAUUCGAUACUGGUUAGCUAGAGUGUGGGAGAGGAUGGUAGAAUUCCAGGUGUAGCGGUGAAAUGCGUAGAGAUCUGGAGGAAUACCGAUGGCGAAGGCAGCCAUCUGGCCUAACACUGACGCUGAGGUACGAAAGCAUGGGGAGCAAACAGGAUUAGAUACCCGGGUAGUCCCUGUCUCUUAUAC